rnacentral:rRNA from 1 species
AGAGUUUGAUCCUGGCUCAGGACGAACGCUGGCGGCGNUAACACAUGCAAGUCGAACGGAAAGGCCCGCUUGNNNNNNUCGAGUGGCGAACGGGUGAGUAACACGUGGGCAACCUGCCCUCAGCUCUGGGAUAACUCCGGGAAACCGGUGCUAAUACUGGAUAUCAACUUUGCCUCGCAUGGGGUGUUGUUGAAAGUUUUUCGGCUGGGGAUGGGCCCGCGGCCUAUCAGCUUUGGGGGGUGAUGGCCUACCAAGGCGACGACGGGUAGCCGGCCUGAGAGGGCGACCGCCACACUGGGACUGAGACACGGCCCAGACUCCUACGGGAGGCAGCAGUGGGGAAUAUUGCGCAAUGGGCGGAAGCCUGACGCAGCGACGCCGCGUGAGGGAUGACGGCCUUCGGGUUGUAAACCUCUUUCAGCUCUGACGAAGCGUGAGUGACGGUAGGAGCAGAAGAAGCACCGGCCAACUACGUGCCAGCAGCCGCGGUAAUACGUAGGGUGCAAGCGUUGUCCGGAAUUAUUGGGCGUAAAGAGCUCGUAGGCGGUUUGUCGCGUCGAAUGUGAAAACCCGGGGCUCAACCCCGGGCCUGCAUUCGAUACGGGCAGACUAGAGUUCGGUAGGGGAGUCUGGAAUUCCUGGUGUAGCGGUGAAAUGCGCAGAUAUCAGGAGGAACACCGGUGGCGAAGGCGGGACUCUGGGCCGAUACUGACGCUGAGGAGCGAAAGCGUGGGGAGCAAACAGGAUUAGAUACCCUAGUAGUCC